GACAUCAGAGAUGGCUGACAAUGUUAGACCCUCCUUAUAUAUUGAAAACAACAGUUUGAAACAGACAGCUGGCACCAAGCCAAUGGUUAAAGAAACUGGGGAAACAGCCUCUCACUUGCAAGGGUCAAUUCAAUGUUAUGAAGAAACAGCAAGGUCACCGUCAGAGAUGUCUGACAAUGUGGGAAACACUUCUUUGGUAUGUAAAUUUUGGAGUAUUU